rnacentral:rRNA from 1 species
GACGAACGCUGGCGGCGUGCUUAACACAUGCAAGUCGAACGGAAAGGCCCUGCUUGCAGGGUGCUCGAGUGGCGAACGGGUGAGUAACACGUGGGUGAUCUGCCCCUUACUUUGGGAUAAGCCUGGGAAACUGGGUCUAAUACUGGAUAGGACCAUGCUGUAGGUGGUGUGGUGGAAAGAUUAGUUUCGGUAAGGGAUGAGCUCGCGGCCUAUCAGCUUGUUGGUGGGGUAAUGGCCUACCAAGGCGUCGACGGGUAGCCGGCCUGAGAGGGUGGACGGCCACAUUGGGACUGAGAUACGGCCCGGACUCCUACGGGAGGCAGCAGUGGGGAAUAUUGCACAAUGGGCGCAAGCCUGAUGCAGCGACGCCGCGUGGGGGAUGACGGCCUUCGGGUUGUAAACUCCUUUCAGCCAUGACGAAGCCCUUGUGGUGACGGUAGUGGUAGAAGAAGCACCGGCUAACUACGUG